UACGUAGGGUGCGAGCGUUGUCCGGAAUUAUUGGGCGUAAAGAGCUCGUAGGCGGUUUGUCGCGUCGACUGUGAAAACCCGAGGCUUAACCUCGGGCCUGCAGUCGAUACGGGCAGACUAGAGUUCGGUAGGGGAGACUGGAAUUCCUGGUGUAGCGGUGAAAUGCGCAGAUAUCAGGAGGAACACCGGUGGCGAAGGCGGGUCUCUGGGCCGUAACUGACGCUGAGGAGCGAAAGCGUGGGGAGCGAACAGG
rnacentral:rRNA from 1 species